CUUGUACCAGCUCUGAGUUACAUAAGGACAUCUUUGGAAUUUGGCUUCCUUUGAAAUGAAAUGGGAAAACUACACUCAAACAAGCAGAACUGCUUACGUGUCAUCCCGACAUGGCAGCUGCUUCCCCGAGAGCAAGUGAUCGUAGGAGUAAGACCAAGCCCACCGUAUCUUCUGAGACCCGGCCUCGGAAGCCACAUUCCUCCCCACGGUGCCACAUGCCAGUCAGCUCUGGUCAGUGCGAAGCCUGGGAGGAAGGGAGGUGUGGGCAGCAUUUGAGAACGGGCUGCCACACCCAGGCUGCCCUUUGCCUCUAUCUUGCCGUCAUCCCACAAGAUUGCCAAAGGGGCUUACCACCUGGAGCCACCAUUGGGUGAUAUAGAGCGUGAACACUGGGUUCCACAUUCCUGUGGGCGGCUUGUGUGUGGUGAGGGCCACCUAAAUCAUGUUGUCAUUGCUGUUAUUACUGUCGUCAUCAAUGCUUUAUAAUCUCCCUCUCUGAUAACCGGAUGCAAUUAUAACUCCUCUUUUAUAGA